GGAGGAUCCGAGCGUUAUCCGGAUUUAUUGGGUUUAAAGGGAGCGUAGAUGGGUUGUUAAGUCAGUUGUGAAAGUUUGCGGCUCAACCGUAAAAUUGCAAUUGAUACUGGCAGUCUUGAGUACAGUUGAGGUAGGCGGAAUUCGUGGUGUAGCGGUGAAAUGCUUAGAUAUCACGAAGAACUCCGAUUGCGAAGGCAGCUUACUAACCUGUAACUGACAUUGAUGCUCGAAAGUGUGGGUAUCAAACAGGAUUAGAUACCCUGGUAGUCUACACGGUAAACGAUGAAUACUCGCUGUUUGCGAUAUACGGCAAGCGGCCAAGCGAAAGCGUUAAGUAUUCCACCUGGGGAGUACGCCGGCAACGGUGAAACUCAAAGG
rnacentral:rRNA from 1 species